rnacentral:rRNA from 1 species
GAGCUAAUACCGGAUAAUAUAUUGAACCGCAUGGUUCAAUAGUGAAAGACGGUUUUGCUGUCACUUAUAGAUGGAUCCGCGCCGCAUUAGCUAGUUGGUAAGGUAACGGCUUACCAAGGCAACGAUGCGUAGCCGACCUGAGAGGGUGAUCGGCCACACUGGAACUGAGAUACGGCCCAG